GGGGGAGUCUAUAAUGUGUUCCUUUCUACACAGUAACUAUGGGUCACUGCUCAGUGUUUUGAAAUUGUGAGACUCCGUCACAAUAUAGAAUAUUUUUCUCCAGUGACUUGCAUUAGGAAAAAAGAAGGCUGCAAAUUGAGAACCUGGCUGAAUUGUAACUUUCUUCAGAUGGCUACAAGGAAGAAAGAUGGAG